GUUAUUGGAAAGAUUGUUGUUGUUUCAAAUGCAGCAAAUGUUUAUUCUUCCUCUGGGGAUUUAGUAACAAGAAGGAUAACAAAGCUUCAAGACCUCAGGUUUUGCAACCUGUUGGACAAACAGAAAACAUGGACCUUGAUGACGAAAUCGACAGCAGCAAACAGAAAAUAAUACAAGCGAUCGUCCUAUCUAUCCAAGGUAAAAAUAAGUAAAGCUUGCAGUAAAAGAACAUCUAGCAAGAUAUUCCUUUUGUUGUCUACCUAUAAAAGCUUUUGGAAAAGUAUAUGUCGCAGCUUUUGGACAGAACAUAUCUUUUGUUUUGUAUAUAUGCUAUAGAAGUCGACUUCUACAAAGAUUAACUCCAAG